AUUGAACGCUGGCGGCAGGCCUAACACAUGCAAGUCGAACGAGUGGCGGACGGGUGAGUAAUGUCUGGGAAACUGCCUGAUGGAGGGGGAUAACUACUGGAAACGGUAGCUAAUACCGCAUACCAUCAGAUGUUCCCAGAUGGGAUAAGCUUGUUGGUUGGGUAACGGCUCACCCAGGCGACGAUCCCUAGCUGGUCUGAGAGGAUGACGAGCCACACGGGAACUGGGACACGGUCCAGACUCGUACGGUAGGCAGCCGUGGGGAAUAUUGCAAAAUGGGCGCACGCCUGAUGAAGCCAUGCCGGGUGUAUGAAGGAGGCCUUCGGGUUGUAAAGUACUUUCAGCGGGGAGGCGUUACCCGCAGAAGAAGCACCGGCUAACUCCGUGCCAGCAGCCGCGGUAAUUC
rnacentral:rRNA from 1 species